rnacentral:rRNA from 1 species
CCUACGGGGGGCAGCAGUGAGGAAUAUUGGUCAAUGGACGAGAGUCUGAACCAGCCAAGUAGCGUGAAGGAUGACUGCCCUAUGGGUUGUAAACUUCUUUUAUAAAGGAAUAAAACGAGGCACGUGUGCCCUUUUGCAUGUACUUUAUGAAUAAGGAUCGGCUAACUCCGUGCCAGCAGCCGCGGUAAUACGGAGGAUCCGAGCGUUAUCCGGAUUUAUUGGGUUUAAAGGGAGCGUAGAUGGGUUGUUAAGUCAGUUGUGAAAGUUCGCGGCUCAACCGUAAAAUUGCAAUUGAUACUGGCAGUCUUGAGUACAGUUGAGGUAGGCGGAAUUCGUGGUGUAGCGGUGAAAUGCUUAGAUAUCACGAAGAACCCCGAUUGCGAAGGCAGCUUACUAAACUGUGACUGACAUUGAUGCUCGAAAGUGUGGGUAUCAAACAGGAUUAGAUACCCCAGUAGUC